GGAAAAAAAAAACUGAAAAAUUUUAGUAGUACAUUAAAAGACUUGUAAAUUACAUAUUCAAAAUUGAUGGAAAAAGCCAGAGCAACAACGGAAGUGAGAGCCAGCUAGUGGUAACUAAUAGCAGAGAGAGAGAGAGAGAGGGGCAGCUAAACGUUUCAAGAUAAACAGACCACUACUACUACUAGCAGUAAGGUAAUACCAAAUGAUAUUUCAAUCAAAGAGCAGAGAGCUACUACAUUGCUGUCCGGUACGGUAUCAGAUCUCCGAUUAACAUAGCAUAAGAUAUUAUUGAGAUCUAGAUCUGGGCUUCGGAGUUUUUUUUUUCUUUCUUUUUGGUAGAUUCUAGUUUAGUAGCGCGUAGUGACCUGAGAACAACAGACAGAAGG